rnacentral:siRNA from 1 species
AAAUCAGGAUACUGUGUAGUAGA